AGAGUUUGAUCCUGGCUCAGAACGAACGCUGGCGGCGUGCCUAACACAUGCAAGUCGAACGGAGUGCAGGGGGCAACUCUUGCACUUAGUGGCGCACGGGUGAGUAACACGUAGGCAACCUGCCCUCUGGAGGGGGAUAACUCCGGGAAACCGGAGCUAAUACCGCAUAAGACCACGGACUGGGAUGUUUGUGGUAAAAGGAGCAAUCCACCGGGGGAUGGGCCUGCGGCCUAUCAGGUAGUUGGCGGGGUAAAGGCCCACCAAGCCUAAGACGGGUAGCCGGUCUGAGAGGAUGGACGGCCACACUGGAACUGAGACACGGUCCAGACUCCUACGGGAGGCAGCAGUGGGGAAUUUUGCGCAAUGGGGGAAACCCUGACGCAGCGACGCCGCGUGGAGGACGAAGGCCUUCGGGUUGUAAACUCCUUUUGCCGGGAAAGAUGAUGACGGUACCCGGCGAAUAAGCCACGGCUAACUCUGUGCCAGCAGCCGCGGUAAGACAGAGGUGGCAAGCGUUGUUCGGAAUUACUGGGCUUAAAGGGCGCGUAGGCGGUGGCGUAAGUCUGGUGUGGAAUCCCGCGGCUUAACCGCGGAACUGCAUUGGAAACUGCGUUACUUGAGUCAGCGAGGGGAGGGCGGAAUUCCUGGUGUAGCAGUGAAAUGCGUAGAUAUCAGGAGGAAGGCCGGUGGCGAAGGCGGCCCUCUGGCGCUUGACUGACGCUGAGGCGCGAAAGCGUGGGGAGCAAACAGGAUUAGAUACCCUGGUAGUCC
rnacentral:rRNA from 1 species